rnacentral:misc_RNA from 1 species
UGGUCAACGCCAGUGGCGCAUGGACGCACAAACAUACACACGCACACAUACACCACCACUGAAGGGCAGAUUGUGCUCGUCACCGCUUUCUCUUUUUCUCGCUGUGCUUCGACGCUCUACUCGCCAUCUCGCUCCGCUGCCACCUCAGUCACACACCUCCUCCCUGUCUCCAUGAACGGGCAUGGCCCAAGCUGCUCCGCCAUUAAAAACGGCGUGGAGCACCGCUACGCACAUGUGAAGUGGUUUCACGAAGUGAACUCCCAGGCUGCGUUGUUGGAGGCAGCGCAGGCCAUCGACCAGAUGUUUUACGACAAACGCGAAGGUGGGGUGCGAGGCAGCGAGGCCAAGAUCAACCACGGCAUGCUGGCCGACAAAAAUGCCAGAGGCAAUGGUGGUGGUGGUCGUGGCAACGUCGCAGUUGCCCACGGCUUCUCCAAUGCACCGGCGUGCACCGCCAUCGGUAUCGAGGCGGAUAUUCAGUGGCACCCAACCCUGGAAACGGCCAUCAUGCGGCGUGACCCCCUGCCGUCAGCGGUGGCCGACGUGUUCUCGGGCGACGGCGACGGCAACAAGGAUCGAAACGCACACAAUGAUCGUUCUCCAGCUGCUAAAACGACCGCGGAUGCGGCGGAGGACGGCACGCUUCCACUCGAGGCGUUUCUCCAGACGUUGGCGGAGGCAGUGAAGGGGUGGCGGCAACGCGCCGCCUUCUUGGCCACAGCGCCCGCCCGCUCCCCAGCAGCUGCGCCGCCUCUGCGCGUCAUCGUAAGGCUCCACUUUGAAGCGCUCCCGGCAGCACAGCAGCUCCUCACGCACGCCGAGGCGCAUACGUGGGCGGGCCUUGAGGAACUAUGCUGGCAGCCCCACAGCGAAGGAAGCGCAGCGGCGGCCGUGUCCGGUACUGCGCGCCAACACGCCUCACUCUCGGUCAUCGAUCACUCAGCCGACGCUUCGGCGACGCCAUGCGAAGCGCAGCGACAGCCGUCCAUGCCGGUAGCGUCGCAUCCUCCCGCAGCUGUGGCCAUAGAGCUGUGGUGGAGCGCCGACGUGGUCGCGCAGAGCGGGGUCACCCCGCACCCCUUGUCCUUUGCUGCGGCCCCGGCAUCUGUCGUGCAGGGUCUCAUGGCGCGAACGGCCCAGGUGCUCGGCCCUCGCGUUCCGCUUGGCUUUUCUCUUGGCUGGGUCCUCUGCCCGCGUGCCGUGCCGGCUGAAGUGCUGGCGAUGACCAAGGCCACUGCGGCGUCAUCAACCACUGCCUCAGCGACGACGGUGAUGCCGCAACCGCGAUAUGUCUUUUACAGCCUCCUCGAGGAUGCCGCAGCCAUGAAAUCCUUCCUGGACGGCCUCUGGAAGGAGCUAGACUCCUCUGUGCACCGGCACAGCAAUGGGGCAGCUGUGGAGCCCGGCGGAGGCACCGCCCUGUCCGGCAUCGUGGGCAGUGAGGGGAUGGAGAAACGCAGCGAUCAGGCGGUCGUCAGCGCGUCGGCGCCACCGCCAGCAUCACGCCUUGUUCGUCUCAUCACGUUCACGAUGAUGUUUGAGAGCGUGUUCGCCGACGUGUACACAGCAAAGGAGCGGCAGCAGGCCUUCGAGUGGUCGGUAGCGGCCACGGCGUCCCUCAACGCGGCGGCGAGGAAGGCAGACGAGACUCGCCGUGUCGCCGUAGCCGUGCUGGAGCACACCACGAAGCUCUUCAGCGCGUCGCACGUCACCACAAGUGCAACGAUGAAGACGCGCAUGAGCAGCACGGCAAGCAAGGUGGUUGAGACGGAGCAGCUCGAGGAGGAGUCGCUGAAGCACGCGGCGGUCCCAACAGCUGCGACGAUGACACCAUCGGGCGAUCCGCGUGCGUUUCCAACCUUUAGGAAGGCUAUCCGACCACCAUCGCCCGCCUCCCUGGCCGUCGUGUCGCCCGUUGCGCAGCCCAUGUCUUCCACGAAGAUCGAUGAUGAUGGCGCGUUUCAGUUAAACGUGGACAGAGCCGCACGCGUCUUCUUCCCCUGUUGCAGCAUCGAUACCUGACGAGUGCCGAUGCAACGAACGUCGCUCGCGCUUGCGGCUGUGUAGAAGAGGGAAAAAAGGGGGUGGAUGCUGAACAGCCUGUAAAGGAGGGGAGCGGGCUCAGCGAGCAAGGCGAGGGCGCUGCCUUGCACGACGCACUCACAAACCGGCUCCCUCCCAUCUCCCUCUUCCCCUCCCUCACUCACACACACACACACACACACACACACACACACACACCGAAGCACUGAUGUACGCAUUCCCUAUUUUGUCUUUUGUUUCCUGCGCAUAAGGCAUGCACGCAGACAUGCACACAUACACGUCAGCGCGUUGCUGUGUGUGUGUGUGUGUCCCUCUCUCGACUCUCUGCACAUUAUCUUUCUUUGUCUAGUUGCUUCCUCCUCUCUGCUGCUCGCUGCUUCGGCGUACUUUUUGCUGCUGUUUUUCCUCAUGUAUAUAUAUAUAUAUCUGCGUGUGCGUGUGCACCUCGAUGGACCCGUUGCGCCGAUGCGGGAUGGGGGAAGGUGAGUGGGGGGAGUGGUACAAACUUGCCCACAGACAGCCGCGUGCGUGCAUGCGCACGCAAGCCCGAUCAUCUGCCGAGCACAACGGAGAAAGACGACGGCGCCUUCUCUAUCUCCCCCGACUCGCUCUUGUUUGCUUUGGGUGCCUCUCUUGUCCUCCUCUCUCCCCCUCCCCCUCCUCCCCUCCACUGCUGAUGCCGCUGCUGCAUCAGCGUUAUCUCCGUGAGCACUUGCGUUCGCUUCAUUUUCUAUAGCGUGACCUCUCUCUCUCUCUCUGCCUGACUUGAUUCGGCCUUCUCCUUUCUUUACAUGCGGUGUCGUCGUGCACCUCGCCCUCCUCUUCCUCUCUGCCCUGCCGCGGCACUCGCAUGUUGGAGCUCGUCACAUUGCGCGGUCAGCCGCUUUUCGGGAGCCUCGCUCUGGUCCCUAGUCUGCGCUGGCUCCAGGCUCUGUGCGUAAGCAGGAGGCGUUAACCAAGCGAACAAGACAGAGAAGGGCCGGUGAGUGGGAGGCGCAGAGGAAAAGGAGGAGAGGGAGAGCAUGGCGGCAUCGCGAUCAGCUAAGUAACUUCAUUGAUGUGGGCUCUCGUGUACGUGCAUCCGCCUGGUGCCGAAGGCACAUAUGUUACGGUUCUAUCUUUCUUUGCGUAGGCUUCCGAAAGGGGCGUGGAUUUAGAGUGGCGUGCGCAGUUGCCUCCCCACUUGCCCUGCUUUUAUUCCCACCUCUCUUGCUCUCUCCGCUGCGUCCGAGGCGGCGUGAGCUAAUCACCUGGUCGCCGUCUCCACACUCGCAGACACACAUCAUAUUCGAUACGCACUUCGCCUCUCUCGAUGGCAUAGUGACGCCGCUAUUUCCUUCUCGCCCUCCCUCAUACCCCCAACUUCUCCACAGACAAGCACACGCACCCACCUUAUGCAGGUCCUCAUGCCUCACAAAAAUAUGGUCCUCCGUUCUCUCUCUCUAUCUCUGCAUUUGUGCGUGUGUCUGGGCCCAUUCCCUUGUGCGGGUCGUUGCAAGCUGGAGAUUCGGCCCAAUCGAUCCUCGAUGCCCCUCCCUACCCCCUUCGCUCUUUUUUAGCGUAGGCCUCUCCUCCUCUCCCCUGUCGUCCUGCUGCGUCCGUCUGCCAUACUGCUCUCCGACGGUGCGAGCACCUUGCGUGCUGGCGCGCAUGAAUACAGGCGCGUGCACACGCAAACUAUCGUCCCCAUCAUUCCCCCCUCCCCCUUACCUCUCUGCCCCCUCUCGUCCUGCCCAUCAACGCUUCAUGGCCCACUCGUCACGGCCGUCCUCUCGUUUUUUCUCUUCGCAG